AGAGAGAGACAUGCGCGCAUAUCAAUAAGCGGAGGAAAAGAAACUAACUAGGAUUCCCUCAGUAACGGCGAGUGAAGCGGGAAGAGCUCAAAUUUGAAAUCUUCAAGGUUCUACCUUGACGAAUUGUAGUUUAAAGAAGUGUUUUCUGUUGGAGUUUUGGUAAAAGUUCUUUGGAAUAGGACAUCAUAGAGGGUGAGAAUCCCGUAUUUGACCAUUAUUUCCAGCUUUGUGAUACACUUUCAAAGAGUCGGAUUGUUUGGGAAUGCAGUCCAAAAUGGGUGGUAAAUUUCAUCUAAAGCUAAAUAUUGGCGAGAGACCGAUAGCGAACAAGUACCGUGAGGGAAAGAUGAAAAGAACUUUGAAAAGAGAGUUAAACAGUACGUGAAAUUGUCAAAAGGGAAGCGUUUGACACCAGUGUUGUUUUCUCGAAAAUCAAUUAAAAAAGGCAGGAUUUUGUGUUGUAUUGACUUUAUCAGCUUUCUGCACUCUUUUCUUGUCUUUUUUAAUGCACUUUUCGUUUAACAAGUCAACAUCAAUUUCUUUUGUUGUAAAAGGGUCAUUGGAAGGCGGCUUUCUUUUCGGAGAAAGUGUUUAUAGCCUUUGGCCUCUGCAAUCGGAGAGAUUGAGGUCUGCAGCGUAGAUCCUUCGGGGUUAGAUACAUUUGUGCUAAGUUAUAGCCUUUCAUAGACAACUUGUUGACUAUGAUCAGUCAUGUAGCUUACUCGCUUAUGUUAUUUUACCUACGCUUAGGAUGUUGAUGUGAUACUGCGAGCA
rnacentral:rRNA from 1 species